UACGGAGGGUGCAAACGUUGCUCGGAAUCAUUGGGCGUAAAGAGCGUGUAGGCGGUCCGGUAAGUCGGCUGUGAAAGUCCAAGGCUCAACCUUGGGAUGCCGGUCGAUACUGCCGGACUAGAGUUCGGAAGAGGCGAGUGGAAUUCCCGGUGUAGCGGUGAAAUGCGCAGAUAUCGGGAGGAACACCUAUGGCGAAGGCAGCUCGCUGGGACGUUACUGACGCUGGAGACGCGAAAGCGUGGGGAGCAAACAGG
rnacentral:rRNA from 1 species